CAGACUGUGACUCUGCCUGACACACAGACAGAGAAGCUGGAGGUACAGUUUGACAUUGUGCCUGACAUACAGACUGAGACGUUAGUGACUAAGCUGGAGACACAGAGUGAGAUGACAUCUGAGGCCGCAAUCGGGAAUCCUCAGGAUCUGAGCGGAGAUGGUGUCACUGGAGUACAGGUCAUCAAGACUGAGACUGUGGAAUACAGCUCAGAGGAACACUCCACAGAAACACAGCCGUAACACAGCUGAUGGUCUCCAACAACAGCCACAGAUCUGAGCAGGAUCGUGCGGGCGAAAGGGAAUGGCUUUGGGUUAAGCGUAGACUUCUGUUGCUACGCGUUACUGUUCUGUAUUGCAUGCGCCGUACUUGUAUGGGAUUUGCUAUCCCGGGUGUGCGGUUUCUGCACCAUGUGGUGCCGGUGGUGUGCGGUGGUUCGGAGGGCUGGGCUGAGAUUUCAGGAUUAGUUGGGAUGUCCUGGGUCGUUGUUGUGUGCAAUAAAUACUACGUUUAAGAUGGAA